rnacentral:rRNA from 1 species
UACGUAGGGUGCGAGCGUUAAUCGGAAUUACUGGGCGUAAAGCGUGCGCAGGCGGUUUCGUAAGACAGAUGUGAAAUCCCCGGGCUCAACCUGGGAACUGCAUUUGUGACUGCGAGGCUAGAGUAUGGCAGAGGGGGGUGGAAUUCCACGUGUAGCAGUGAAAUGCGUAGAGAUGUGGAGGAACACCGAUGGCGAAGGCAGCCCCCUGGGCCAAUACUGACGCUCAUGCACGAAAGCGUGGGGAGCAAACAGG